rnacentral:rRNA from 1 species
AGAGUUUGAUCCUGGCUCAGGACGAACGCUGGCGGCACGCCUAACACAUGCAAGUCGGACGAGGUUAUGAAAAAGCUUGCUUUUUCAUAACCGAGUGGCGGACGGGUGAGUAACGCGUGAGUAACCUGCCUUUUUGAGGGGGAUAACGUUUGGAAACGGACGCUAAUACCGCAUAAUGUAUCGAGAUGACAUCAUCAUGAUACCAAAGGAGUAAUCCGCAAAAAGAUGGACUCGCGUCCAAUUAGCUAGUUGGUGAGGUAAAGGCCCACCAAGGCGACGAUUGGUAGCCGGACUGAGAGGUUGAACGGCCACAUUGGGACUGAGACACGGCCCAGACUCCUACGGGAGGCAGCAGUGGGGAAUAUUGGACAAUGGACCAAAAGUCUGAUCCAGCAAUUCUGUGUGCACGAUGAAGGUCUUCGGAUUGUAAAGUGCUUUCAGGUGGGAAGAAGAAAGUGACGGUACCACCAGAAGAAGCGACGCUAAAUA